rnacentral:lncRNA from 1 species
CUUUCUGGGGCAGACGGAGGAGGGUGGUCCCACUGUCUACUAUUGCUUUAUCGGCAUUGUACUCUCUGCAAUCCAAUUCAAGAUUCUGUCCUCCAACCUCCAGUUUGAGAAUUUCAACCUGAUAAUACCACUCCUCUUUGAUAGGCGUGUACCAUAUAUUACCCUUGUAGAGACUUGGUUCAAUGCCACCUAGAACAAGACUACCUCCGUUG